rnacentral:rRNA from 1 species
UACGUAGGGUGCGAGCGUUACUCGGAAUUACUGGGCGUAAAGCGUGCGCAGGCGGUUUUGUAAGCCAGAUGUGAAAUCCCCGGGCUUAACCUGGGAAUGGCAUUUGGGACUGCAAGGCUGGAGUGUGGCAGAGGAGACUGGAAUUCCUGGUGUAGCAGUGAAAUGCGUAGAUAUCGGGAGGAACACCUGUGGCGAAAGCGGCGCACUGGACCACAACUGACGCUGAGGCGCGAAAGCAUGGGGAGCGAACAGG